CGGCAUGCCUUACACAUGCAAGUCAACGGCAGCACGGGAGCAAUCCUGGUGGCGAGUGGCGAACGGGUGAGUAAUAUAUCGGAACGUGCCCAGUCGUGGGGGAUAACGUAGCGAAAGCUACGCUAAUACCGCAUACGAUCUAUGGAUGAAANCGGGGGAUCGCAAGACCUCGCGCGAUUGGAGCGGCCGAUAUCAGAUUAGGUAGUUGGUGAGGUAAAGGCUCACCAAGCCGACGAUCUGUAGCUGGUCUGAGAGGACGACCAGCCACACUGGGACUGAGACACGGCCCAGACUCCUACGGGAGGCAGCAGUGGGGAAUUUUGGACAAUGGGCGCAAGCCUGAUCCAGCAAUGCCGUGUGCAGGAUGAAGGCCUUCGGGUUGUAAACUGCUUUUGUACGGAACGAAACGGUGAGCUCUAAUACAGUUUGCUAAUGACGGUACCGUAAGAAUAAGCACCGGCUAACUCCGUG
rnacentral:rRNA from 1 species